rnacentral:rRNA from 1 species
CACGUAGGGCGCAAGCGUUGUCCGGAAUUAUUGGGCGUAAAGAGCUCGUAGGCGGUCUGUUGCGUCCGCUGUGAAAACUCGGGGCUUAACCCCGAGCCUGCAGUGGAUACGGGCAGACUAGAGGUAGGUAGGGGAGAAUGGAAUUCCCGGUGUAGCGGUGAAAUGCGCAGAUAUCAGGAGGAACACCGGUGGCGAAGGCGGGUCUCUGGGCCGAAAUUGACGCUGAGGAGCGAAAGCGUGGGGAGCGAACAGG